rnacentral:rRNA from 1 species
ACGAAGAAACAACGCGUGGCGGCGUUGUACUUAAGCAUGACAAGGUUGAGCGGACGAAGGAGGAGAGACUCCCUCCUAGAGCGGCGGACUGGUGAGUAACGCGUGGGUAAUCUAUCGUAGGCAUGGGGAUAGUCACUAGAAAUAGUGGGUAAUACCGAAUACGUUCCAUGAGGGGAGUAUUCAUGGAAGAAAGGGUGCUACGGCACUGGCCUUAGGUGAGCUCGCGUCCCAUUAGCUAGUUGGUGAGGUAAAGGCCCACCAAGGCGAUGAUGGGUAGCCGGCCUGAGAGGGUGUACGGCCACACUGGGACUGAGAUACGGCCCAGACUCCUACGGGAGGCAGCAGCUAAGAAUAUUCCGCAAUGGACGAAAGUCUGACGGAGCGACGCCGCGUGGAUGAAGAAGGCCGAAAGGUUGUAAAGUUCUUUUGCUAGGGGAGAAUAAGUGAGGGAGGGAAUGCCCUCAUGAUGACAAGGACUAGCGAAUAAGUCCCGGCCAACUACGUG